UUAUGUCGCCAAAAUUUGAAAGAAAUAUACGGGAUGUAAAGAUUCAGCAUUUCUGCAAUAGAUGGCAGCACCUUCAGCUAUGAUCAAGGAAUCGGUCGCAGUUGUACGCGUGUAUUCGCUUGUGUAAGACUUCAUUUUAUGUAAUUAUCUUAAUUUUCAUGUUAAUAAGGAAUAGUUUAUCAGAAAGUAACAUCUACUUUUUUCUUUACAUAGUGCCUUCCGGACAAGAUGAAUUCGUUUCGGAGAGCACUGUGGACGCGAACAGAGCUUAGUAUCGAGUUAGCGAAACGACGCAGGAUUAUAAUGCGAAUCUAAUGCGAAUGAUUCCAAGAUGUUCUCCUGGAUUCACAUGGAAGAAAGAGAGGAGACACGCAGGGAAUGGCGGUUGGCGAAACAUCCGAGUGUUUAUCACGCGACUGAAUGAUUACAACGAUGGGGUUGAAGCAAACCUGAAACUGGGUCGAAGUAGACGGCGAAGUGAACGAGCUCACAGGGCCUCAACAGAAACCGUGAAGGUGAUGGAAGAUUUCUGCAAACUUUGUCCCCGCCGUUAAGUUCAACUUCAAAUGCAGACGGUAUUGCUAUCACCGGUCGAUGGAUCUCACGGAAAUACUUCGACAAACCGACGUCAAUUUUAGCCAACCAUCAUCCAUAC